AACGGCGAGUGAAGCGGUAACAGCUCAAAUUUGAAAGCUAGCUCUUUUAGGGUUCGCAUUGUAAUUUGUAGAAGAUGCUUCGGGUGUGGCCCCGGUCUAAGUUCCUUGGAACAGGACGUCAUAGAGGGUGAGAAUCCCGUAUGUGACUGGGUGCUUUCGCUCAUGUGAAGCUCUUUCGACGAGUCGAGUUGUUUGGGAAUGCAGCUCAAAAUGGGUGGUAAAUUUCAUCUAAAGCUAAAUAUUGGCCAGAGACCGAUAGCGCACAAGUAGAGUGAUCGAAAGAUGAAAAGCACUUUGGAAAGAGAGUUAAACAGUACGUGAAAUUGUUGAAAGGGAAGCGCUUGCAACCAGACUUGCGCGCUGAUGAUCAUCCGGGCUUCUGCCCGGUGCACUCGUCUGCGCUCAGGCCAGCAUCGGUUUCGGUGGUGGGAUAAAGGCCUUGGGAAUGUAGCUUCUUUCGGGGAGUGUUAUAGCCCUCGGUGCAAUGCCGCCUACCGGGACCGAGGACCGCGCUUCGGCUAGGAUGCUGGCGUAAUGGUUGUAAGCGACCCGUCUUGAAACACGGACCAAGGAGUCUAACAUCUAUGCGAGUGUUUGGGUGUCAAACCCAUACGCGUAAUGAAAGUGAACGGAGGUGAGAACCCUUAAGGGUGCAUCAUCGACCGAUCCUGAUGUCUUCGGAUGGAUUUGAGUAAGAGCAUAGCUGUUGGGACCCGAAAGAUGGUGAACUAUGCGUGAAUAGGGUGAAGCCAGAGGAAACUCUGGUGGAGGCUCGCAGCGGUUCUGACGUGCAAAUCGAUCGUCAAAUUUGCGUAUAGGGG
rnacentral:rRNA from 1 species